GGAUGGGAUCAUACCAGCACUAAAGCACCGGAUCCCAUCAGAACUCCGAAGUUAAGCGUGCUUGGGCGAGAGUAGUACUAGGAUGGGUGACCUCCUGGGAAGUCCUCGUGUUGCAUUCC
rnacentral:rRNA from 3 species